rnacentral:lncRNA from 1 species
CCGCGCCCGGCCAAAUUAGGGGAUUCUUAUCAGGAAGAGAAAGCAGCACGAGGAGGGCUCACAAAGGGAAGUGAGGCUCACUAGAACAGCCCCAGGCAUAAAUUGCAGGGGAAACCUGAAAUCAACUGCUCCUAACCCAAAACAGGCACGUCCGUCAAGCAUGAACCAGCAGCAAGAAGCUCCUUGGCAUCCAGUCACAAGGAUCUAAUCUCAACUCCAGAGGACAAGAGAAAUCGGAGGCAAGUCUACCUGAAAAGAGAGAAUGACACGAAUAGACUGGAAGAAAAGAGCUCCAAAAUGUCUGGAGACCCACAGCCACUGAAUGAUUGUGAAGGAGGAAAAACAGACCCUAGGACACCAACCAGCAAGUCACACACGCCUCUGCAGAUGCUGUAUUGGCUGAAGAAAAUGCUGCCACCCAUCGGGGAAGGAAAGGAAAUUCUAUUAAGGAUAUUUUUAAUUCUGAUCCUAAUUCAGGUGAUCCUAAUUAAACAGCUCUGCAUAAACAGUGUCUUGAUAAAUUUUUCCUAUAAGCAUCAAAACGAAAACCAAAUGUCAAUCAAAACUUGAAAUAGCGCCCAUGACUGCCAAGUCUGGUCACAUGUAGCUCUAAUGCUUUUCUUUUACUUGACAAGUAUUUAUUCAAAAACAACAUUUUAAAAUUAUUUGCCUAUGUCAUUAAUAUCAAGUAUAAAUGUUAAGGUCAAAUAAAUAUCACUAAAAGAAAAAGAGGUGUUAAUAAGGCCAAAGAGUAUUUUCUUAUACACUGCAUAUAUAGUUUAUAGCAUAGAAAAUGUUUAAAUCUAUAAAUGCAUGUAUCUAUAGAAUCAUAGGGAAAAGCACACCCAAUAAUGGCUUGAAAAUGAUAAAGACUCAAUCUGGAGGGCUCCUGAAUAAUUAAUGUUUUAAUAUGCAGUACUAAAAGAUUGUAGAAUGCAGAUUUCAAAAGGUACCUUAACUCCAUGCAAAUUCCAUGUCAAUUAUCUUUAUUUUCACAUACAGUUGUGGCAACAUCAGCACAGAAUCAUUUGACAUGAAUAAUCCACCCUCCUCCCACUCAAACUACCAGCAUUUAUUUAGAUUUGAAUAUAUGAAGGACAGAGGUAUGUAAGGCAUGAUGUACCACCUGGAUAAAAAUAGCAGAAAUCCUGAUUAAAUAAUUUACAGUUUUGCCUAGAGCAAUACUUUAGUAUUAGAGAAUAUUAUCAAAUAUUCUUAUUUCCAUCAUUCUGGAUUUUGCUAAGGCUUAUAAUGGUCCAUAAUUAGGGCUCUAACAGAGAACUAAUAUAACACAGAAUGCAGUAUGGUGGAAUGCAGAAAAUAAGAACUCUGGAAUGAAGAAAGCCAUGUUAAAGCUCUGUCUCUUUUACUUAAAUAUAGUGUGACCUUACGCACUUUCUCAUCUACAAAGGCACGAUACCCAUAACUCAGAGGGCUACUAUAGAAGAUAAUGUGAAAGUACACAUUAAAGUACUUGGUAGAAUAAAAAAUUAAAACAAAGGAGUGCGGCACUAGGAAACUUGUGAUCAAUCCGCCAAUUGUCCCUUGAUCUGUUGAUGUAAGACAGGUACCAGUGUCUAAUACUCAUUUGCUUCCUGGAAAGUAUGGGCCAAAAAAUGGGAAAUACAAGACAAAUCCACAUACUCAAAUAUGUAAUACAGCAGUUCUGUUUAUAACUGAGUUAUCUGAAGGGAAGGCAGACAGCUGGUUUGGGAAGCCAAAAUCAUUUAAACACGGACAUACAGAAUCUCUGAAUUGAAACUCAUCAUUAGACAAGCUAAUCUAGUUUCAAAUGUCGAACGAUACUAUUCUGUAACUUAUUUUUAAUUUUCUGCCUUUACACAGAUAGGCUUCAAUAUAAGAAACAGAUAUUGCUGAAAGGUUGUCUGUAAUUUAACUUCUGUUUGCUGUAUCACAUUUUCACUUCAACUUAGCAGCUAAGUUCUUGAGCACUUGGGCAUCAACUAACAGAAAGGGCAUUAGACAGAACUCAGAAGACUUCAGUUCUAGCUUUCUUCCUGUCACUGGGUGACUACUUCCCCCUCUCUAAGCCACAACUGAUGUAUUCUGGAGAAAGGGAGAGGAGAAAAAAUGGGAAGGCUAUGGUAUCAGAGAGUUUCUGUGAUCUCUUCAGCCCUAAAGUUGUAUAAUUUUAUUUUGCUUAAGGAAGAAAAUGGGGACACAUGACCUAUUUUCAUGAAAUUUAUAGUCUAAGUGGGAACCUAAGAAAAAAGGACAGACAACUUAGAAAGUAGGGGAUAGUCACAGUUGUCAAAUGCUUGGCAUAGAAAAUAACAGUGACUACUGAUUUUACAAAAGGGAAAGCUCAAUCCUAACCAAGUAGAUUUCACCAAAGAUCUGAGUAGAAACCUUAAGAAUAAGCAGGACCUCAAUAGAGAGGGCGAGGGAAGAUAAACUACACCCUUCCAUGAUGCACCAGAAAUAUCACAAACUCACAAAUUCAAAGAGCAGUUUACAUAUCAUCUAGGCCUACCUUAUAGAGACAACCCAUCCUGACACGUAAUUCUAAUCCUCAGUGAAACUCUUCCAGGAAGAAGUAGCUUCCAGCUGUACCAGGACACGCUGAUACGUUGUUGGAACGCUCUGGUUAUAAAGCUCUUCUAGAUAAUAAAACAGUAUUUUUGUCCUUUCUUCAUCAUGCUUUGUAAAUAGACAUUUAUUUGAAUAUGUCUCUUUAAACAUGUAACAUUAGGUACUAAACACAGAAACUGUAAUGAAAAUCAACUUUUGAAGAUAGAAGGAAGACUCUUCCUCUUUGAUUAAGAUGCUUUAAAAGAAUCUGGUUUGGCGAAGCCAUCCCCAAACUCGCCUGCUUACCUUUAUGAUAUACCAAGUCAUCUUAUUUUCCACAUCAAAUGGCAAUGUCUGAUUUUUGCCCCUAAAAAAAACACUCUGUUUCUGCCUAUUACAAAAUUUAAUAGAGCAGUUUAUCACAGUUUUUCAUCACUCUUAAUAUUAUAUCUCUAAAACAUAUUUGUUUUUUCCUCCCAUGAAAGGUCCUUCUUAUUUGCAAUAGAAACAGCCAAAUCAUAAUUUAAAGUUUGAGGGCAAUAAUCCACAAUCUAAGAAAAAUCAAACAAAAACUUUGAACCUGAGUUACAUAACCACAAUAUUUCUAAUAGAAAAUUUUAUCUUUAUGUUUCAUUUCAAAACAAAAUAACAAAAUAUAACACCUUUAAUUAAGAACCAAAAGCAUGAUAGCACAUGUCUGUAGUCUCAGCUACUCAGGAGACUGAGGCAGGAAGAUUGCUUGAGCCCAGGAGUUUGAGGUCAGCCUGGGCAACAUACUAAGACCCUGUCUUCAUGGGUUUUUUUUUUUUUUUUUGAGAGAGUUUCACUCUUGUCGCCCAGGCUGGAGUGCAAUGGCACAAUCUCAGCUCGCUGCAACCUCCCCCUCCCAGGUUCAAGGGAGUCUCAUGCCUCAGCAUUCUGAGUAGCUGGGAUUACAGGCAUGAGCCACCACGCCCAGCUAAUUUUUGUUGUUUUGGUUUUUUUUUUUUUUUUUUUUGUAGAGACGGAGUUUCACCAUGUUGCCCAGGAUGGUCUUGAACUCCUGACCUCAGGUGAUCCACCCACCUUGGCCUCCCAAAGUGCUGGGAUUACAGGCGUGAGCCACCGUGGCUGGCCAAGACCCUGUCUUUUAAAAAAUUAAAAAUUAAAGGCCAGGCACGGUGGCUCAUGCCUGUAAUCCCAGCACUUUGGGAGGCCGAGGCGAGCGGAUCACAAGGUCAAGAGAUCAAGACCAUCCUGGCCAACAUGGUGAAACCCCAUCUCAACUAAAAAUAUAAAAAUUAGCUGGGCGUGGUGGUGUGCGGCCUGUAGUCCCAGAUACUCGGGAGGCUGAGGCAGGAGAAUCGCUUGAACCUGGGAGGUGGAGGUUGCAGUGAGCUGUGAUCACGCCACUACACUCCAGCCUGGUGACAAAGUGAGACUCCUACUCAAAAAAUAAAUAAAUAAAUAAAAUAAAAAUUUAAAAAAAAAGGAAACAGCUAAGAAUGACAGUUUAAAAUAUUAAGACAAUAAAGUCCCUGCUUUUUCUAUUUUAUAAUUUCUUUCUCUCUUUAGUAAAAUAAUUGCAGUUUUCUUACUAUACCAUUGAGAUAAAACAUUUUUAAAUUAUUGAAUUAAAUUGGCUUUAGAGUAAAACAAAAAUUGACUCAAAAAACAAUUACUGUGUGUGUACUGUGCUCAGAAAUGUGACCAGCAAUGUAAACCGACAGAACCAAUGGCUUUUUAGAAAAUAACAAAGUAUUUCCGAUCCUUUUUUAAGUAGAGAAUUUUCUCCCAGCACAUCCUAUUUCCAAUUGUGUGCAAAAAACCUUCCAGCUUACAAAUGUUAAUUCAGGGGUUGGCAAAUAAAGGCCCAGAGGCCAAAUCUGGCCCACCACCUGCUCAGUCUGCAAGCUAAGGAUGUUUUCUUACAUUUUUAAAUGGUUGGGGAGAAAUAGAAAGAGUAUUUUUGAAUAUGUGAAAAUUACAUGAAAAAUCAGUGUUCAGUGUCAAUGUUUCUUUGGUAUACAGCCACACCCAUUCAUUCACGUAUUGUACACGGGGCCUUUCAGGCUACAAUGGCAGAGUUGAGUUGCCACGAUAAGCAUGUGAGGUAAUGCAUAUGUUAAUUUGCUCCAUUUAGCCACUCCACAAUAUAUACGUAUUUCAAAAAAUCAUGUUGUACAUGAUAUAUAUAAUUUUUAUUUGCCAAUUUAAAAUAAUUUUUUUAAAGAAGCAGCUACCACAGAGACCAUAAGUAGCACUCUCUUUACACACUACAAAUUGUCAUGAGGCAGUUGUGACUCACUUUUGUCUCCUGCCUGGAAAGCCUAAAUAUUUACAAUGUGAGCUUUUAGAGAAAAAUGUUCUUCAAACCUGGAAUAAUUAAUAUAGUUAUUCAUCAUUCCUUGAAGAACUUAGUAUAAUGGCAGUCUCUAUGAGUCAGAGCUAUCAAGUAAUUACUAGAUUUCUUGAAUCUUAUCAUGAUAUUAGUGUUUCUUUUUGUCAAGUCUCAUAUAUUUAUAUUAUGUAUUAAUUUUUAAAAAUACAUUAUCUGGGCCAGCUGUAGUGGCUCAUGUCUGUCAUCCUAGCCCUCUGGGAGGCCAAGGUAGGAGAAUCACUUGAGCCCAGGACUUCAAGACCAGCCUGGGCAACAUAGCAAGACCUUGUCUCUACAAAAGUAAAGCAAAAUAUUAGCAAGGCAUGGUGGCACACACUUGUAGUCCCAGCUGGGCAGGGGAAUCACUUAAGCCUAGGAGUUCAAGGCUGCAGUGAGCUAUGAUCACAUGACUGCACUCUAGCCUGGGUGACAGAGCAAGAUCCUGUCUUUAAAAAUAAUUUUUUAAUGAAAUGAAAUAAAAUAUAAAAACAUUUAUCAAAGUGUGCUCCACAAAACGGAAAAGGGAUACUGUUUUCUCACAUUCCUUCAAUCCGUCAAAAAUUAAAGACCUCCUGCAUACAAUGAAGGUUGCUAGGAAUUCAAAAUAAAUAAGAUGUAAUUCCUGGCUCCACGUAAUUGCAUUCUAGUAGAGAGACACAGUAUUCCAGUAGAUUGUUGUCACUAAAGGAAAAGCCAAAGCAAUGACAGUAACCUUUGCCAUUUCAUAAUGUCAUACAGACAUUUAAAAAAUAUCACCUCUGUCUGCAUUAAUGGCAAGUUAUACACUUAAAUAGAUAAAGCAACAAGGCUUGACAAACACAUUUAUCCAUCAAUACUUUCAAGCAAAGCAUUAGCCUUACAUAAGCAAUUAACCUUGACCAACACGGGUAUAAACAAAAAUGCUGAUUAAGAACUUACUAAUUAUCCUUCCCAACUUCAGAAGUUUAGCUGGCAUCUGGUUUUUAACUAUGAUAAAUAUACACCAACUCAUCAUAGGUUAUUAACACAUAAGUGAAAAGAAAUAUUUAACCAAAUGGCUACGAAUGAAGAACAC